GUGCGCGGGGACACAGGAGGCCGCCGGCUCGAGGGAGCCAGCAUGCGUGCUCUGUGGCCGAGUGGAUGAGGACUCGAGCAUCCUUGGCCACAAAAUAGAGAGCAAUGGAUUCCAUUUCCAUAAGUUUUGUGUGAUAUUUGUCAAUGGUCUUUGUGAACCUGUGGAAGGCCACAUUGAUGUUUUUUU